rnacentral:rRNA from 1 species
AAGGAUCUCGUUGGUGACCAGCGGAGGGUCAUUACCGAGUUUACAACUCCCAAACCCAAUGUGAACGUUACCAAACUGUUGCCUCGGCGGGAUCUCUGCCCCGGGUGCGUCGCAGCCCCGGACCAAGGCGCCCGCCGGAGGACCAACCAAAACUCUUAUUGUAUACCCCCUCGCGGGUUUUUUUAUAAUCUGAGCCUUCUCGGCGCCUCUCGUAGGCGUUUCGAAAAUGAAUCAAAACUUUCAACAACGGAUCUCUUGGUUCUGGCAUCGAUGAAGAACGCAGCGAAAUGCGAUAAGUAAUGUGAAUUGCAGAAUUCAGUGAAUCAUCGAAUCUUUGAACGCACAUUGCGCCCGCCAGUAUUCUGGCGGGCAUGCCUGUCCGAGCGUCAUUUCAACCCUCGAACCCCUCCGGGGGGUCGGCGUUGGGGAUCGGCCCUGCCUUGGCGGUGGCCGUCUCCGAAAUACAGUGGCGGUCUCGCCGCGGCCUCUCCUGCGCAGUAGUUUGCACACUCGCAUCGGGAGCGCGGCGCGUCCACAGCCGUUAAACACCCAACUUCUGAAAUGUUGACCUCGGAUCAGGUAGGAAUACCCGCUGAACUUAAGCAUAUCAAUAAGCGGAGGA